GACGAACGCUGGCGGCGUGCUUAACACAUGCAAGUCGAACGGAAAGGCCCUGCUUUUGUGGGGUGCUCGAGUGGCGAACGGGUGAGAAACACGUGAGUAACCUGCCCUUGACCUUGGGAUAACUUCAGGAAACUGGGGCUAAUACCGGAUAGGAGCUCCUGCUGCAUGGUGGGGGUUGGAAAGUUUCGGCGGUUGGGGAUGGACUCGCGGCUUAUCAGCUUGUUGGUGGGGUAGUGGCUUACCAAGGCUUUGACGGGUAGCCGGCCUGAGAGGGUGACCGGCCACAUUGGGACUGAGAUACGGCCCAGACUCCUACGGGAGGCAGCAGUGGGGAAUAUUGCACAAUGGGCGGAAGCCUGAUGCAGCAACGCCGCGUGCGGGAUGACGGCCUUCGGGUUGUAAACCGCUUUCGCCUGUGACGAAGCGUGAGUGACGGUAAUGGGUAAAGAAGCACCGGCUAACUACGUG
rnacentral:rRNA from 1 species